rnacentral:rRNA from 1 species
GAUGAACGCUGGCGGCGUGCCUAAUACAUGCAAGUCGAGCGAACAGAUGAGGAGCUUGCUCCUCUGACGUUAGCGGCGGACGGGUGAGUAACACGUGGAUAACCUACCUAUAAGACUGGGAUAACUUCGGGAAACCGGAGCUAAUACCGGAUAAUAUAUUGAACCGCAUGGUUCAAUAGUGAAAGACGGUUUUGCUGUCACUGAUAGAUGGAUCCGCGCCGCAUUAGCUAGUUGGUAAGGUAACGGCUUACCAAGGCAACGAUGCGUAGCCGACCUGAGAGGGUGAUCGGCCACACUGGAACUGAGACACGGUCCAGACUCCUACGGGAGGCAGCAGUAGGGAAUCUUCCGCAAUGGGCGAAAGCCUGACGGAGCAACGCCGCGUGAGUGAUGAAGGUCUUCGGAUCGUAAAACUCUGUUAUUAGGGAAGAACAAAUGUGUAAGUAACUAUGCACGUCUUGACGGUACCUAAUCAGAAAGCCACGGCUAACUACGUG